ensembl:Mt_tRNA
GUAGGCAUAGUUUACUAAAAUAUUAGAUUGUGGAUCUGAAGAUAGGAGAUAAAACUCCUUACCUACC